AUACGUAGGUGACAAGCGUUAUCCGGAUUUACUGGGCGUAAAGGGCGUGUAGGCGGUCUUGCAAGUCAGAAGUGAAAUUCCUGAGCUCAACUCGGGCGCUGCUUCUGAAACUGCAGGACUUGAGUGCUGGAGGGGAUAGCGGAAUUCCUAGUGGAGCGGUAAAAUGCGCAGAUAUUAGGAAGAACACCGGGGGCGAAGGCGGCUAUCUGGAAUGUAACUGACGCUGAGGCGCGAAAGGAGGGGGAGCAAACAGGAUGAGAUCCCCUGGUAGUCCACGCCGUAAACGAUGAAUACUAGGUGUAGGGGGUAUCGACUCCCUCUGUGCCGCAGUUAACACAAUAAGUAUUCCGCCUGGGGAGUACGGCCGCAAGGUUGAAACUUAAAGGAAUUGGCGGGG
rnacentral:rRNA from 1 species